GACACUAGCUUUCCGUGCUACCCACAGAGGGACCCCUACGGCCUUGUUUUCGGUUCCCACGUAACUUAAAGGGAAUCUUUCACAAUGUGCGGGCCCUUGAUGUCCUGCAAAUGAAGGAGGAGGAUGUCCUCAAAUUCCUCGCUGCAGGAACCCACUUAGGUGGCACCAACCUUGACUUUCAAAUGGAGCAGUACAUCUACAAACGGAAAAGUGAUGGCCUCUACAUCAUAAAUCUGAAGAGAACCUGGGAGAAGCUUCUAUCGGCAGGCAGCUCAUGCCAUUGUUGCCACUGAAAACCUGGCUGAUGUGAGUAGUGGUAUCAUCCAGAAAUACCGGCCAGUGAACUGUGCUGAAGUUUGCUGCUGCCACUGGAGUCACUCCCACUGCUGGCCACUUCACUCCUGGGACCUUCACUAACCAGAUCCAGGCAGCCUUCCGGGAGCCGAGACUUCUGGUGGUUACCGAUCCCCAGGCUGACCACCAGCCUCUCACAGAGGCGUCUUAUGUUAACCUGCCAACCAUCGCUCUGUGUAACACAGACUCUCCUCUGCGCUAUGUGGACACUGCCACCCCUUGCACCAAGGGAGCUCACUCUGGAGGUCUGAUGUGGUGGGUGCUGGCCCGGGAAGUUCUGUGCAUGCGUGGUACCAUCUCCCUCCCGCGAGCAUCCGUGGGAGGUCAUGCCUGACCCUCUACAUCUAUGGAGACCCUGAAGAGGCUGAAAAGGAAAAGCAAGCCUCUGUUGAAAGAGCUGGUGACCAAGGAGGAUUUCAGGGCGAAUGAGUCCUCUAGUUCCGAGUUCACUGCUGCUCAGCCUGAGGUCGCAGACUGGUCUGAAGGUGUGCAGGGGCCCUCUGUGCCCAUUCAGCAGUUUCCUAUAGAAGACUGGCGCGCUUAGCCUGCCCCUGAAGACUGGUCUGCAGCCCCCACUGCUCAGGCCACUGAAUGGGAGGAACGACCAAUGAGUGGUCCUAAGCUGUUCUUCCACAA